GAGGGUACAGCUCAAUGGUAGAGCACAUGCUUUGCAUGCACUAGGUCAUGGGUUCAAUCCCCAGUACCUCUG
rfam:Camelus ferus unplaced genomic scaffold scaffold842, whole genome shotgun sequence.